GGCGAUCACAGGCGAUGAAGGACGCGGUAGCCUGCGAAAAGCCCCGGGGAGCUGGCAAACAAGCUUUGAUCCGGGGAUGUCCGAAUGGGGAAACCCACUCCUUAUGGAGUAUCCAUGGCUGAAUACAUAGGCCAUGUGAAGCGAACGCGGUGAACUGAAACAUCUAAGUAACCGCAGGAAAAGAAAUCAACCGAGAUUCCCAAAGUAGUGGCGAGCGAAAUGGGAUGAGCCUUGUACUCUUUAUUUGUAUUGUUAGCCGAACGCUCUGGAAAGUGCGGCCAUAGCAGGUGAUAGCCCUGUAGGCGAAAACAGUAUGAAAGAACUAGGUGUACGACAAGUAGGGCGGGACACGUGAAAUCCUGUCUGAAGAUGGGGGGACCAUCCUCCAAGGCUAAAUACUCGUGAUCGACCGAUAGUGAACCAGUACCGUGAGGGAAAGGCGAAAAGAACCCCGGGAGGGGAGUGAAAUAGAUCCUGAAACCGCAUGCAUACAAACAGUCGGAGCCUCGUAAGGGGUGACGGCGUACCUUUUGUAUAAUGGGUCAGCGACUUACGUUCAGUAGCAAGCUUAACCGUAUAGGGCAGGCGUAGCGAAAGCGAGUCCGAAUAGGGCGUUCAGUUGCUGGGCGUAGACCCGAAACCAGGUGAUCUAUCCAUGGCCAGGAUGAAGGUGCGGUAACACGUACUGGAGGUCCGAACCCACUAACGUUGAAAAGUUAGGGGAUGAGCUGUGGAUAGGGGUGAAAGGCUAAACAAACCUGGAAAUAGCUGGUUCUCUCCGAAAACUAUUUAGGUAGUGCCUCGUGUCUCACCUUCGGGGGUAGAGCACUGUCAUGGUUGGGGGGUCUAUUGCAGAUUACCCCGCCAUAGCAAACUCCGAAUACCGAAGAGUGCAAUCACGGGAGACAGACAUCGGGUGCUAACGUCCGGUGUCAAGAGGGAAACAACCCAGACCGCCAGCUAAGGUCCCCAAAUAUAGCUAAGUGGGAAACGAAGUGGGAAGGCUAAAACAGUCAGGAGGUUGGCUUAGAAGCAGCCACCCUUUAAAGAAAGCGUAAUAGCUCACUGAUCGAGUCGUCCUGCGCGGAAGAUGUAACGGGGCUAAGCUAUAUACCGAAGCUGCGGAUGCGUGCUUAGCACGCAUGGUAGGAGAGCGUUCCGUAAGCCUGCGAAGGUGCGUUGUAAAGCGUGCUGGAGGUAUCGGAAGUGCGAAUGCUGACAUGAGUAGCGAUAAAGGGGGUGAAAGGCCCCCUCGCCGUAAGCCCAAGGUUUCCUACGCAACGUUCAUCGGCGUAGGGUGAGUCGGCCCCUAAGGCGAGGCAGAAAUGCGUAGCUGAUGGGAAGCAGGUCAAUAUUCCUGCACCGUCGUUAGAUGCGAUGGGGGGACGGAUCGCGGAAGGUUGUCCGGGUGUUGGAAGUCCCGGUCGCUGCAUUGGAGAAGGCGCUUAGGCAAAUCCGGGCGCAGGAUUCAAGGGUGUGGCGCGAGCUCCCUCGGGAGCGAAGCAAUUGGAAGUGGUUCCAAGAAAAGCCUCUAAGCUUCAGUCUAACGAUGACCGUACCGCAAACCGACACAGGUGGGCGAGAUGAGUAUUCUAAGGCGCUUGAGAGAACUCGGGAGAAGGAACUCGGCAAAUUGGUACCGUAACUUCGGGAUAAGGUACGCCCUUGUAGCUUGAUGCGCCUGCGCGCAGAGGGUGAAGGGGUUGCAAUAAACUGGUGGCUGCGACUGUUUAAUAAAAACACAGCACUCUGCAAACACGAAAGUGGACGUAUAGGGUGUGACGCCUGCCCGGUGCCGGAAGAUUAAAUGAUGGGGUGCAAGCUCUUGAUUGAAGUCCCGGUAAACGGCGGCCGUAACUAUAACGGUCCUAAGGUAGCGAAAUUCCUUGUCGGGUAAGUUCCGACCUGCACGAAUGGCGUAACGAUGGCCACACUGUCUCCUCCCGAGACUCAGCGAAGUUGAAGUGUUUGUGAUGAUGCAAUCUACCCGCGGCUAGACGGAAAGACCCCAUGAACCUUUACUGUAGCUUUGCAUUGGACUUUGAACCGAUCUGUGUAGGAUAGGUGGGAGGCUAUGAAACCGGAACGCUAGUUUCGGUGGAGCCGUCCUUGAAAUACCACCCUGGUUUGUUUGAGGUUCUAACCUUGGCCCGUGAUCCGGGUCGGGGACAGUGCAUGGUAGGCAGUUUGACUGGGGCGGUCUCCUCCCAAAGCGUAACGGAGGAGUACGAAGGUACGCUAGGUACGGUCGGAAAUCGUGCUGAUAGUGCAAUGGCAUAAGCGUGCUUAACUGCGAGACCGACAAGUCGAGCAGGUGCGAAAGCAGGUCAUAGUGAUCCGGUGGUUCUGUAUGGAAGGGCCAUCGCUCAACGGAUAAAAGGUACUCUGGGGAUAACAGGCUGAUACCGCCCAAGAGUUCAUAUCGACGGCGGUGUUUGGCACCUCGAUGUCGGCUCAUCUCAUCCUGGGGCUGUAGCCGGUCCCAAGGGUAUGGCUGUUCGCCAUUUAAAGAGGUACGUGAGCUGGGUUUAAAACGUCGUGAGACAGUUUGGUCCCUAUCUGCCGUGGGCGUUGGAUAUUUGAAGGGGGCUGCUCCUAGUACGAGAGGACCGGAGUGGACGAACCUCUGGUGUACCGGUUGUGACGCCAGUCGCAUCGCCGGGUAGCUAUGUUCGGAAGAGAUAACCGCUGAAAGCAUCUAAGCGGGAAACUCGCCUUAAGAUGAGAUAUCCCUGGGGACUUGAUCCCCUUGAAGGGUCGUUCGAGACCAGGACGUUGAUAGGUCAGGUGUGUAAGCGCAGUAAUGCGUUCAGCUAACUGAUACUAAUUGCCCGUAAGGCUUGAUCCUAUAACA
rnacentral:rRNA from 1 species